UGGAAUAAAAUGGCACUAGGCCUGGAAAAUACAUCACGCCUCUCAUUUAAAAACGUUUACACUUUUCCUGCAGACACCUGAAAGGUUUUUGGCGUCUAAAUUGAUAAUUGAAAUGAUUCACAAUUUCAAACACUUUUACAGAAACGUCAUAUUUCACAUUGGGUAUGAUGUUUCUUCUUAUGGAGUUGUGGUCUAGGGGUUUAAGGCCUGAGUGUUUUGUUUUAAAGGAAGUGAUUCUAUUUUUUCAAAUGUACAUCUUAUUCCAGACAUAUCAAAUAUAACAGGGACUGUGGUCAUAUGUAAAAUACAAACAGUACAUGACCUAGAUUUUUACAGCUUCUUCCAUUAUGUUAUUGGCCUCUUAAACUUCCCUGACAUGCUUACAUCUCGUCUUUUCCUUAUUUUUGAAAAACAUCCAGUUUUUAUUGUCUUUUUGCUGUUUUUUUUUUUUUUACUCUUUGCUGCACCGUGGUGUAUAAAAUGUUAUAAAAUGGCCCUUGUCUUCUUCUCACACACCUUUAAACAAUAAGAUCAUUUUAAACUUUUGACUCCGUACGCAAACUCCAAGUAAAGGUCAUGAAAAUCCAUCUAGGACAGCUGAUCUUUAUUUCUGUUUAAUCAAAUUUACUUUAGUUGAUGUGAGGCGUGAACCCAAGAGCAACGAAUGUUAAAACUGAACCAAAAGCUACUUUAGUUAAUUUAAGGAUAGGACAGGAUAUAUGUUGUGUUAAAACUAUAAAACAUUUGUAAAUUAUUUAGAAUGUUCUAAUUCCUUUAAGUCGCAGAAAAAGUGAGUUAGCUGUACUUGGCCCACAACAUCAAAUGCAGCUAAAAGUAAAGCAUACACCGUCUUUUUACCCGUUUACUUAUU